rnacentral:lncRNA from 1 species
ACAGUAAUAUCGCAGGAUAAAUAGAUAAUGUUACAAAUUAAAUAUUUAAUUUAUCUCUCAAUUAAUAUUUUUUUCUCAUUGGACCCACACUAAUCACACAAAAAUACUCUCUCAAUUCUUUUUCCAUUUCAUUUUAAAUUAUGAACAUGAAAAAAUGAAAAACUAAGAAGAAAAAUGAAAAAAUGAGGGAGGGUUGGAGACGGUCUUAACAAUAGUACCAGUGCAAGUCAAUCACGUCACUAAAAAGCCUAAUGAUUGAAUUCUCAUGUAAUGUCUAGAGGGCAAGUCAGGAGUGUCACGGAUGCAAGUUAGGUAUGCCACUGUAAAGCCUAAUGCUUGAAAUCUAAUGUUAUGCUAGGGUGCAAGUUCAGGAUGCGAAUAAAAUCAGGAACUCCACGUUAUUCAUAUUAUGCUUCUCUUUUAUCACUUGCUUCGAUAGUUAGACUUGUUAAUCGCUGAACCGUGAUUAUUUGUUGGUCUUCGCGAUGAAAUAAAAAAAUAUUAAUGUGGGGUAAAAUUUCACCUACUAAUAUAGGCACGUGCCUAAGACCCAUCUACAAUUUUGAUCUCCCCGCCCAUGAACUUCUCGCCACUAGUUGCUUUAUCUCACCAUUAUAUUGGACCUGACAUGCUAUCUUAUAUACUGUCCAAAUGGGCGAGGUGGAGUUUUAGCUUAUCCUAACUGAGGACUCCUAUUCUUAUGAAGAUUUCGUUCUCCCACGAAGCUCCUACUUUUCUAAGGACCUUAUCUCCAUUUAGACUCAACUUGAUCACGACUCCUCUAAUUGCGAUUACUCUCCAAAUGCACCUCUUACAUUAUCUCUGAUAAUAUCGGGAAUAUCCUUCUAUACUUAUCCUAUCCGAGAUCUCGCCUUGAUCGCAUUGACACGACCCAUUACUCUUCUAUAAAAUGGUCGUCCCCAUCAUUAUGAGGUACACAACUUAAAUUGAUAUAUACACAUAUUGAGAGUCUGUUAUUUUGGGGAGGGGACCUCUCUUCGCCUUGUCGAUUCGGCACGCCGGUAGGGUUUUGAGUCUGCUUCGCCCCCGGCCGGUUUAUUUUUGGUUCGUUGUGCGCAGGUCGCCCAGUAUUUGCCAAGGUCUAGUGCCGAGUAAAAAGGUAAUAUUGAUCGUUAGUUGCUCGCCCAGAUUUUUUAUCACCACAUUGUGGGCAUUGUCUGUGGGGACGAUAUUUCUCAAUCUUCUAUGCACUUGGCGCAGCUGUUGUCUACCAAACCAGUGUCAUAGGCUCUUUGAUAACAUGUCACCCUAGGGCCAUAUCAGCCAAGCUCGAUCCGGAAAGAGGCCUCCACCAUGAAUAAUGGUAUGGCGAGCAUAUGAGAAUCAUGACAAAAUAAUUCCCACCUCAUACAACAUCUCACUGCAAACAACCCGCCACCUCCUACACCUCUAGCACCUUCUCACCCUUCUCACCACUCUGGCAAUAACGAAUCCCAAAACUACCAUAGUACUGGUUGGGAUUGGCGAUGUCGAUCUCCGAUUCCCCGUCAAAAGAAAAGAAGCUCUUCGUAUGAGUCCCGAUCCUCCAGCGAAACCCCAAAAAUAGAAGGCGAGGAAGUCAAGAGGAGAGGAAGAUCUCCUAGCCGAAACAAUCAAGUGUCCAAGCACCGAGAAGAAUCCACCCCUAGAAUUUAGAGAUUGGAUGCCAAGAAUGAUGCCAUCAACACCGGUUCGAUCUCGCCGGUCACUGUAAAUGCUUGUUAGACAAACCCAAAAAAAAAGGGGCCCGCCGUUCACAAAAGAAUAAUGAGAACCCGAGCCUCCUCCAAGUUCCAAUUGCCCUACCCAGCUCGAGCUUAUGAAGGAAAGACAGCAUCCUAUGACCACCUGUCAUUCGUACAAACUGAUGUCCGCCAAUGAGUAUUCGGACGAGGUAAUGUGUAAAACUUUUCUACCACUCGCAAGGAUUUUGGCGAGGACGUGGUUUAGAAAGUUUCCUCUAGGAACCAUCAACUCGUUUGGCGAUCUAAGUAAAUUGUUGUCGCCAACUCAUAAGUUGUCGGUUAGGCAGAAAAAUGCUUCCCUCUAUUCAUUGUUUCUCAAAAGGAUACUAAUAGCUUGACAGACUAAAUAAAUACAUAUAGCAAAUCCAAGCGAUACCAAGCUAUCUUAAAGGUGGAAUACCCUAGUGAUAAACUUGUAAUUAUGGCCAUGAUGGGGACUUCGCCUAGGCCCGCACUGUUUGACUCCCUUUCCAAAAAAAAAAAGUUCUGCAACAUUGUCAAGCAUUCCAUAGCAAGGCUGAUAAAUACAUUACAUCGGAAGAAUUACUGAAAGCCACGAAGGGAGGCAGAAGGGAUUACCAUAAAAAGAAGGGUCACCUCGCAUCCGAGGAGAUCGCCUUUUCAUUAAGCUCCAUUUUCAUGGGAUGUUGCUCACCUCGCCCCAGGUGCUAUCCCUCUAGCCGUUUAAAGGAGGUUUCCUGUUGCAGUAUGAUAUUGCCAAAGCUUUAUUCGCCAAAUCUCCAUGUAUUUAUGUU